AAAUUACGUAUUUCUGAUAUUGUUUUAAAGAUGGUGGUCGAGGCGCUUUUACAUAUACAUAGUUAGUUCACAGUUGGCAAUAUAAAGCUAUUCGUUCUUGAAACGUGUGAAAGGUGUGUUCCAGUCGUUUCUACAGUCUGCAUUUAUCGGUUCCUUCAACUGAGCCCACUUUUUUUCAUAUUUAAAUGAUUAUCCUAAAAUUCAGUUUAGAACUGUGCUAUAAAAUAUUUAAUUCAAAACAAAUAAAAGCAAUAUUUGAAAAUUCAACCGGACAAUGUUUGAAUGCUCAAUUCAGCUGAUUUAACACACACGUAUAUUUAUUGUAAAGCUGUGGUUAACAAUUACGAAAUGUGUUUGUUUGCUUUGACAUCAUCAGCACGUUUGUUGUUGAUAACGACAUCGAUUCAAUCGAAUAUUUACUUUAGUUCUAUUUUCUAACGAACUCCGCUUUUUUCUAGCUCAUCCGAUACAUGGUUCUCCACCUGAACAGAAGCUCGUUGAUUCCAGUAUAGAUUAGCGACAAUUCUGAAGUCACGUUGAUCCAGCCCGAUGCUUCGAAGGUUUUGUAUCAGUUUAGAAUGUUGUACUUUAUCAAAAGCUUUCUCAUAAUAUAUGAAACACAUGUA